UGGAAUCAGGACAAUCCAUGGGUUCUGUUGUCCUUCAUUCCACCGGAGUCUGUCUCAUACCUAAACCAGAUUUCAGUGGAGUGAAGUACGAGAGACAUGGAGAUGAAUCAGCAAGGAGAG
rnacentral:pre_miRNA from 10 species